rnacentral:rRNA from 1 species
GCCUAACACAUGCAAGUCGAACGGUAACGGGAAGCAGCUUGCUGCUUCGCUGACGAGUGGCGGACGGGUGAGUAAUGUCUGGGAAGCUGCCUGAUGGAGGGGGAUAACUACUGGAAACGGUAGCUAAUACCGCAUAAUGUCGCAAGACCAAAGAGGGGGACCUUCGGGCCUCUUGCCAUCGGAUGUGCCCAGAUGGGAUUAGCUUGUUGGUGGGGUAACGGCUCACCAAGGCGACGAUCCCUAGCUGGUCUGAGAGGAUGACCAGCCACACUGGAACUGAGACACGGUCCAGACUCCUACGGGAGGCAGCAGUGGGGAAUAUUGCACAAUGGGCGCAAGCCUGAUGCAGCCAUGCCGCGUGUAUGAAGAAGGCCUUCGGGUUGUAAAGUACUUUCAGCGGGGAGGAAGGGAGUAAAGUUAAUACCUUUGCUCAUUGACGUUACCCGCAGAAGAAGCACCGGCUAACUCCGUGCCAGCAGCCGCGGUAAUACGGAGGGUGCAAGCGUUAAUCGGAAUUACUGGGCGUAAAGCGCACGCAGGCGGUUUGUUAAGUCAGAUGUGAAAUCCCCGGGCUCAACCUGGGAACUGCAUCUGAUACUGGCAAGCUUGAGUC